CGCCGGGUACGGGCGGGCUGGAGUGCGGCAGGGGAGACUGGAAUUCCCGGUGUAACGGUGGAAUGUGUAGAUAUCGGGAAGAACACCAAUGGCGAAGGCAGGUCUCUGGGCCGUUACUGACGCUGAGGAGCGAAAGCGUGGGGAGCGAACAGGAUUAGAUACCCUGGUAGUCCACGCCGUAAACGGUGGAUGCUGGAUGUGGGGCCCUUUCCACGGGUUCCGUGUCGGAGCUAACGCGUUAAGCAUCCCGCCUGGGGAGUACGGCCGCAAGGCUAAAACUCAAAGAAAUUGACGGGGGCCCGCACAAGCGGCGGAGCAUGCGGAUUAAUUCGAUGCAACGCGAAGAACCUUACCUGGGCUUGACAUGUUCCCGACGACCUCAGAGAUGGGGUUUCCCUUCGGGGCGGGUUCACAGGUGGUGCAUGGUCGUCGUCAGCUCGUGUCGUGAGAUGUUGGGUUAAGUCCCGCAACGAGCGCAACCCUCGCCCCGUGUUGCCAGCGCGUCAUGGCGGGAACUCACGGGGGACCGCCGGGGUUAACCCGGAGGAAGGCGGGGAUGACGUCAGAUCAUCAUGCCCCUUACGUCCAGGGCUUCACGCAUGCUACAAUGGCCGGUACAACGGGAUGCGACAUGGCGACAUGGAGCGGAUCCCUGAAAACCGGUCUCAGUUCGGAUCGCAGUCUGCAACUCGACUGCGUGAAGGCGGAGUCGCUAGUAAUCGCGAAUCAGCAACGUCGCGGUGAAUGCGUUCCCGGGCCUUGUACACACCGCCCGUCAAGUCAUGAAAGUGGGCAGCACCCGAAGCCGGUGGCCUAACCCUUGUG
rnacentral:rRNA from 1 species